GGAUAACCUACCCUUAGGACUGGGAUAACCCUGGGAAACUGGGGAUAAUACUAGAUAGGCAAUUUUUCCUGGAAUGGUUUUUUGUUUAAAUGUUUUUUCGCCUAAGGAUGGGUCUGCGGCCGAUUAGGUAGUUGGUUAGGUAACGGCUUACCAAGCCAUUGAUCGGUACGGGUUGUGAGAGCAAGAGCCCGGAGAUGGAACCUGAGACAAGGUUCCAGGCCCUACGGGGUGCAGCAGGCGCGAAACCUCCGCAAUGUGAGAAAUCGCGACGGGGGGAUCCCAAGUGCCAUUCUUAACGGGAUGGCUUUUCAUUAGUGUAAAGAGCUUUUGGAAUAAGGGCUGGGCAAGACCGGUGCCAGCCGCCGCGGUAACACCGGCAGCUCUAGUGGUAGCAGUUUUUAUUGGGCCUAAAGCGUCCGUAGCCGGUUUAAUAAGUCUCUGGUGAAAUCCUGUAGCUUAACUGUGGGAAUUGCUGGAGAUACUAUUAGACUUGAGACCGGGAGAGGUUAGAGGUACUCCCAGGGUAGAGGUGAAAUUCUGUAAUCCUGGGAGGACCGCCUGUUGCGAAGGCGUCUAACUGGAACGGUUCUGACGGUGAGGGACGAAAGUUAGGGGCGCGAACCGGAUUAGAUACCCGGGUAGUCCUAACUGUAAACGAUGCGGACUUGGUGUUGGGGUGGCUUUGAGCUGCU
rnacentral:rRNA from 1 species